rnacentral:rRNA from 1 species
GUGGAUUAGAUACCCGGGUAGUCCACGCCCUAAACGGUGCACACUAGGUCUUGGCGGAUUCGACCCCACCAGGGCCCAAGCUAACGCGUUAAGUGUGCCGCCUGAGGACUACGGCCGCAAGGCUAAAACUCAAAGGAAUUGACGGGGGCCCGCACAAGCGGUGGAGUAUGUGGCUUAAUUCGAUGCAACGCGAAGAACCUUACCUAGCCUUGACAUGCAUUAGACUGGACUUGAAAGGGUCCUUUCCUUCGGGACUGGUGCACAGGUGCUGCAUGGCUGUCGCCAACU